rnacentral:rRNA from 1 species
GACGAACGCUGGCGGCGUGCUUAACACAUGCAAGUCGAACGCUGAAGCUCAGCUUUUGUUGGGUGGAUGAGUGGCGAACGGGUGAGUAACACGUGAGUAACCUGCCUCCUUCUUUGGGAUAACGCCCGGAAACGGGUGCUAAUACUGGAUAUUCACUGGUCUUCGCAUGGGGGUUGGUGGAAAGGGUUUUUCUGGUGGGGGAUGGGCUCGCGGCCUAUCAGCUUGUUGGUGGGGUGAUGGCCUACCAAGGCUUUGACGGGUAGCCGGCCUGAGAGGGUGACCGGUCACAUUGGGACUGAGAUACGGCCCAGACUCGUACGGGAGGCAGCAGUGGGGACAAUUGCACAAUGGGCGCAAGACUGAUGCAGCGACGCCGCGUGAGGGAUGGAGGCCUUCGGGUUGUGAACCUCUUUCGCUCAUGGUGAAGCCGCAACAAUGGUUGUGGUGAGGGUAGUGGGUAAAGAAGCGCCGGCUAACUACGUG